rnacentral:rRNA from 1 species
CCUACGGGAGGCUGCAGUGGGGAAUAUUGGACAAUGGGGGGAACCCUGAUCCAGCCAUGCCGCGUGUGUGAAGAAGGCCCUCGGGUUGUAAAGCACUUUCAGUGAGGAAGAACGCCUGGUGGUUAAUACCCAUCAGGAAAGACAUCACUCACAGAAGAAGCACCGGCUAACUCCGUGCCAGCAGCCGCGGUAAUACGGAGGGUGCGAGCGUUAAUCGGAAUUACUGGGCGUAAAGCGCGCGUAGGUGGCUUGAUAAGCCGGUUGUGAAAGCCCCGGGCUCAACCUGGGAACGGCAUCCGGAACUGUCAAGCUAGAGUGCAGGAGAGGAAGGUAGAAUUCCCGGUGUAGCGGUGAAAUGCGUAGAGAUCGGGAGGAAUACCAGUGGCGAAGGCGGACUUCUGGACUGACACUGACACUGAGGUGAGAAAGCGUGGGUAGCAAACAGGAUUAGAUACCCCGGUAGUC